UGGCUGUGAAAUGAGUUCCUUGGUCA
rnacentral:piRNA from 1 species